rnacentral:rRNA from 1 species
UACAGAGGUCCCGAGCGUUGUUCGGAUUCAUUGGGCGUAAAGGGUGCGUAGGCGGCGGGGUAAGUUUGAUGUGAAAUCCCGGGGCUCAACCCUGGAAUUGCAUUGAAUACUACCUUGCUAGAGUACCGGAGAGGAAACUGGAAUUUACGGUGUAGCAGUGAAAUGCGUAGAGACCGUAAGGAAGACCAGUGGCGAAGGCGAGUUUCUGGACGGUAACUGACGCUGAGGCACGAAGGCCAGGGGAGCAAACGGG